UCUCUGGAGAAUCCCGCAGAGCGGGUGCCGAAGGGGCAAGGAAAGUCAGCGUUUUGCGGUACGCACACAACGCAAUGUGAUACAGCGCAACGCACCGACUUUACCGAAACUCUCAGGCAAAAGGACAGAGUU
rnacentral:ncRNA from 1 species